GAGGGCAGGUGGAAACAUUAAACGGCAUCAUUAUGCCAAAAGUGAUGUCUUUGUCCAUCGGAAAGCCCUACAUGAAUGUUAUUUCACGCAGAGACAAUGACAGCAGAACGACUUGAUCUUCUAGGCAUGUUUUUCUGCAUUUUAGAAUGUUUGAUUUGAGACAUACAGGAAGGAGCAGGUUGUUACAUAAAUGCCCCCUAUCAACCCCACUUCCUGGUAUAUGUGCCCUGUGACCCUCCCACGCUGACCCUGGACUUGGCCAUGUGACUCGCUUGGCAUUAGCUGAGGUGAGGCCAGUAGAGGGCCAAUGAGCUGGGGCUUGCCCUCUGGCAACCUUGGCUGGAGGCCAGCGAGAGGCCAUCGCGGACCUCUAGAAGACCUCCAGACGACUGAAUAAACGGGGCUGACAAGACGUACCUGCCACAGCGACAGAGUCCUGAGCAAAUCUCUGCUUUCCAGUCACCAAGUUUGGGGCAGUUUGCCACUUGGCAACAGGUAACUCAUACACAGGGCAUCGAAAGCACAGGAAGUUCCUGUCUCCUGCCCAGGGUUCUGGAGAAAGUUAACGGCUGAGCCAAGUGUAGGAUUCACACCCCAGGAUUUUUCCUGCCUUCCCCAGUUUCUGUGUCUGCUCUUUCUGUAGAGCCUGACAUUUCAAGGGCCCUGGGGAAAAUGUUGACUGGUUUGGGACCAGACUCAGAAUGGCACCUACAAAGAAUUAUUAAUGGCACUGGCAUUCCUAAAUACUAGGAAGAGAAAGAGGUUUCAAGAAUGCCUGGUUCAAAGGCAGCUACAUCCCCUUGGAGACAUUGCUGAUCUGGAGACCCUUGACUCUGCUAGCAAGACUCCGUGGCCACACCCUCUUCGCCUUUGAUGGCUGACCCAUGGCCACAAGGUCAGACGUGCACACCAGAAAGCAGAAACAGUGCUUCCCACAGGCUGGCCAGCCCCGCGGGUCCCUGUGAGCCACACUGGAGCCCACAGCCAGGCCCGGGAGCAAGGAGCAGAUGCUCGGCCCUCUUCGAUCUGGCUCCUCCACAUCCUCCACCUCCCACAGCAUGGAUCCGCCAGCCCUAAAUGAGCAGCUACCAUUUGCUGGGGACUUUCUUCCCAGUCUGCAGUCAUUUGUUUGGUUAUCAUAUUAGUUUCCUAGGCUGCUGUAACAAAGUGCCACAAACAGGGUGGCUUCAAACAAAUGUCUGUCUCACAGUUCUGGAGGCCACAAGUCCAAGAUGAAGCUGGCGGCAGGGCCUGCCUCCUCUGAGACUGGCUGGAAGUCUCCCUGCCUCUUCCUAACUCCUGGUGUGGCCGCCAGUCCUUGGUACUCCAUGGUCUGCAGUGACAUGACUCCCACCUCCGCCCCUGUCGUCUCAUGGACUUCUCCCUGUGCGUGUGUCUCUGUCUCUUCUCCUCCUCUUCCAAGGACACGGGCACAUAGCACAGAGCCCACCCCACUCCAGGAGGAUCUACUCACAGUUACUGGAUUGCAUCUGUAAAGAUCCCAUCUCCAAGUAAGGUCACGGUCACAUGUACCAGGGUCUAGGACUUCCACAUCUCUUUUGUGGGGACGCAAUUCAACUCCCAACAGGUUUACGGUAAAAACGUGUCAAGGGCUUCUCUACAGUAAGCAUAAUAAUAGUGAUAUUAUCAUAAUAAAGUGCUUAUUUUGCCCCAGGGACCAUUCUAAAAAUUUUACACGUAUUAAUGGACUGAAAUUCUCAAUGAGUAGAUAUUGUUAUUACCUCCAUUUUAUAAGGAAGGAAACUGAGGCACAGAGAAGUAAAUAAAUAAAUGGCUUCACCGGUGCCCUA